rnacentral:rRNA from 1 species
ACGGGGUGCAGCAGGCGCGAAAACUUUACAAUGCGAGCAAUCGUGAUAAGGGAACUCCGAGUGCCUGUAAAAUCAGGCUGUCCGCCAGUGUAAAUAACUGGUGAAGAAAGGGCCGGGCAAGACCGGUGCCAGCCGCCGCGGUAAUACUGGCGGCUCGAGUGGUGGCCACUAUUACUGGGCUUAAAGCGUUCGUAGCUGGUCUGUUAAGUCUCUGGGGAAAUCUUCCGGCUUAACCGGAAGGCGUCUCAGGGAUACUGGCAGACUAGGGACCGGAAGAGGUGAGAGGUACUCCAGGGGUAGGAGUGAAAUCCUGUAAUCCUUGGGGGACCACCUGUGGCGAAGGCGUCUCACCAGGACGGCUCCGACAGUGAGGAACGAAAGCUGGGGGAGCAGACCGGAUUAGAUACCCGGGUAGUCCCAGCUGUAAACGAUGCGCGUUAGGUGUAUCGGUGACCACGAGUUACCGAGGUGCCGAAGAGAAAUCGUGAAACGCGCCGCCUGGGAAGUACGGUCGCAAGGCUGAAACUUAAAGGAAUUGGCGGGGGAGCAC